rnacentral:ncRNA from 2 species
GGUAGAAGUAGGGUUGCAAAUCUGAAAGCUAAAAGAAUUGACGCAAAGCUACCGCGAGAAGUGGAGCCUGCGUCUUGAUUUGACUCAACACGGGAACACUUAUUCGGCCCGGAUGCUGGAAGGAUUGACAUAUUGAGAGCUUUUGCUUGAUUCGGUGGAUGGUGGUGCGGGGCGACUCUUAGGUGGUGGAGCGAUUUGUCUGAUUAAUUUCGAUAACGUAAAAGACUUGAGCUUAUUAAAGAGGGGCGUGUUUCUCUCCAAUUUGCACCCAUCUUAGAGAGAUAAGCGGCACACGAAACAGCAAUACCAGGUAUGUAAUGCCCCUAGAUGUCCGGUGCCGCACGCGCGCAAUACUGCAGCACGCAGCGUGUUUUUAUCGCUUUCUGUAUAGACAGGGUAAUCCAGGAAGCACCUUGGUGAUCACAAUGAACGAGAAAUUCUCAGUAAGCGUGAGUCACCAACUCGCGUUGAUUACGUCCUUGCCCUUUGUACA